rnacentral:rRNA from 1 species
AACAGGAUUAGAUACCCUGGUAGUCCACGCCGUAAACGAUGAGUGCUAAGUGUUAGAGGGUUUCCGCCCUUUAGUGCUGAAGUUAACGCAUUAAGCACUCCGCCUGGGGAGUACGGCCGCAAGGCUGAAACUCAAAGGAAUUGACGGGGGGCCGCACAAGCGGUGGAGCAUGUGGUUUAAUUCGAAGCAACGCGAAGAACCUUACCAGGUCUUGACAUCCUCUGAAAACCCUAGAGAUAGGGCUUCUCCUUCGGGAGCAGAGUGACAGGUGGUGCAUGGUUGUCGUCAGCUCGUGUCGUGAGAUGUUGGGUUAAGUCCCGCAACGAGCGCAACCCUUGAUCUUAGUUGCCAUCAUUAAGUUGGGCACUCUAAGGUGACUGCCGGUGACAAACCGGAGGAAGGUGGGGAUGACGUCAAGUCCUCAUGGCCCUUAUGCCCAGGGCUACACACGUGCUACAAUGGCCGGUACAAAGGGUCGCAAACCCGCGAGGGCAAGCUAAUCCCAGAAAACCGGCCUCAGUUCAGAUUGGAGUCUGCAACUCGACUCCAUGAAGUCGGAAUCGCUAGUAAUCCCUGAUCAGCAGGCAGGGGUGAAUACGUUCCCGGGCCUUGUACACACCGCCCGUCACACCAUGGGAGUCAGUUGCUCCAGAAACGGCUGCGCUAACCCGCAAGGGAGGCAGGUCUUUAAGGAGUGGCUGGUAACUGGGGUGAAGUCGUAACAAGGUAACC